AACGAGAAAGUGGAGCAAUCCAUGAGUAAAGUGGCGCACGGGUGAGUAACACGUGACUAACCUACCCUUGAGUGGGGGAUAACCUAGGGAAACCUGGGCUAAUACCGCAUAAUACCUUCGGGUCAAAGGAGCAAUUCGCUUAAGGAGGGGGUCGCGGCCGAUUAGUUAGUUGGCGGGGUAAUGGCCCACCAAGACUAUGAUCGGUAUCCGGCCUGAGAGGGCGCACGGACACACUGGAACUGAAACACGGUCCAGACUCCUACGGGAGGCAGCAGUGGGGAAUUUUGCGCAAUGGGGGAAACCCUGACGCAGCAACGCCGCGUGGAGGAUGAAGUCCCUUGGGACGUAAACUCCUUUCGAUCGGGACGAUUAUGACGGUACCGAGAGAAGAAGCCCCGGCUAACUUCGUGCCAGCAGCCGCGGUAAUACGAGGGGGGCGAGCGUUGUUCGGAAUUAUUGGGCGUAAAGGGUGCGUAGGCGGUUUGGUAAGUCUUGUGUGAAAUCUUCGGGCUCAACUCGAAGUCUGCAUGAGAAACUGCCGGGCUUGAGUGUGGGAGAGGUGAGUGGAAUUCCCGGUGUAGCGGUGAAAUGUGUAGAUAUCGGGAGGAACACCUGUGGCGAAAACGGCUCACUGGACCACAACUGA
rnacentral:rRNA from 1 species